rnacentral:misc_RNA from 1 species
CAAACUAGAUAUAUAAUUCAAUAUGAAAUAUUAAAUAAAAAAAAAGGGAGCAAAAAAUAGUGCCUUUAGACAGCUUGUUUAAAAAAAGUAUCAAAAUAAUGCAUCAUUGGAACUUCAACAAGUUGCUUUCCAAUCUCUGAGCAAAAUCCAUUUUAUCAAAACAAUUAUCACAUCAAGGCUUCCAUGCUUCCUUCACUAACUUAAUUAGAGGUUGUACAGCAUUCUAGCCAAGUAAAGUUCCUUAAAGAAUGAUUAUAUAAUUCAGCUACCUCUUCACCAAAAGAGCUACUGACUAAAAGGUUUCCCUUAAUGUUU